UACGGAGGGAGCUAGCGUUGUUCGGAUAUACUGGGCGUAAAGCGCACGUAGGCGGCGCCGUAAGUCAGGGGUGAAAUCCCGGAGCUCAACUCCGGAACUGCCCUUGAAACUGCAGUGCUAGAAUCCUGGAGAGGCGAGUGGAAUUCCGAGUGUAGAGGUGAAAUUCGUAGAUAUUCGGAAGAACACCAGUGGCGAAGGCGGCUCACUGGACGACUGUUGACGCUGAGGUACGAAAGCGUGGGGAGCAAACAGG
rnacentral:rRNA from 1 species